rnacentral:rRNA from 1 species
UGGGGAAUAUUGCGCAAUGGGCGCAAGCCUGACGGAGCGACGCCGCGUGAAGGAUGAAGGCCCUUACGGGUCGUAAACUUCUGUUCUGAGGGACGAAAUUUUUUGACGGUACCUCAGGAGAAAGUAUCGGCAAACCCUGUGCCAGCAGCCGCGGUAAGACAGGGGAUACAAGCGUUACUCGGAAUUACUGGGCGUAAAGCGUCUGUAGGUGCUUUGGUAAGUCUGUGGUAAAAGCUCGGGGCUCAACCCCGAGAGCGUCAUGGAAACUACCGAAGUUGAGCAGUAGAGAGGCAUCUGGAAUGCCGCAUGUAGGAGUAAAAUCCGUAGAUAUGCGGUAGAACGCCAAAAGCGUAGGCAGGAUGCUAGCUACUUGCUGACACUGAGAGACGAAAGCGUGGGGAGCGAAGCGGAUUAGAUACCCCAGUAGUCCCUGAGCGGGCUGGCAAGGCGCAU